rnacentral:lncRNA from 1 species
CUGACUGUGACUGGGAAAGUUAACCCCGCCGGGCUUAAGGAGAAACUGGAGCAGAAGAUUAAGAAGAAGAUCGACCUGGUCUCUCCUCAGCCCAAAAAAGAUGGCGGUGGCGGUGGUGGAGACAAGAAACCUGCCGCAGAGGGAAAGGCUGAGAAAAAGGAUGAUGAGAAAAAAGCCAGCUGAUGAGAAAAAGCCGGCUGAAGACAAAAAGCCCAUAGAGGCACCCAAAGAGGUAAUUUAUUGACAUUCAUGUAUAUAGUGAAUUAGCUAUGUAAAUCGCUCGGAACAGCUCGAAAUUAUACGUUCUUUAUAUAUUAAUUUUGUUGCUAAAUUUGUUUCUUUUUUGUUGGGUGGUUUCUGGUUUCAGAAUUCUGUGGUGCUGAAGAUCAGAUUACAUUGUGAGGGUUGCAUGCACAAGAUGAAGAGUAAAAUCUCCAAGUUUAAAGGUUAAUUCCAAUCGAUUCUCGUACUUUCCAUGACUUGAAGAAUAUAAUAUAGAAUUUGGAUUAUAUUAAUUUAAUCAGAAUGAUGCACGCACACCACUGGCACCACGCUAUUAAACUAAUAAUAUUUUAGCAGAUUUUGUAAAAAGACUAAUCUAGACUAAUCUAGAUUAAUAGAAAAUUAAGUCAUAACGAUACUUUCAUAGAGUAAAAAUUAAGUAUGAGACUGUAAAUUUGAAUGCUGAAUAUUCAAACCGGCUAAAAGCAUUCGAGCGUUUUUACAAUAUUUGUUUUUUAUGAUGCAUGUGCUUGACGUUAUAAAGAUUUUAAAGACCCCUUGUGAUAAAUUUUAAAUGUUUUUGUAAAGUUUAUAUUUUCUUUACCAAAAGUUGUAAAUAUUCAUGGGCAAAUUUGUCAUUCUAUUAUCUAACAAAGAAGUGCAUUAUGGUGUUCACAGGUGUUAACAGUGUGAGCUUUGAUGCACCCAAAGACCUGGUAAUGGUGAAGGGAUUCAUGGAUGUAAAAGAACUUGUACCCUACCUCAAAGAGAAGUUCCGGAGGGCCGUGGAAGUGGUCCCACCCAAGAAAGAUGACGGCGGAGCUGCCGACAAGAAGUCAAAAGACGGCGGU